rnacentral:rRNA from 1 species
UGGGGAAUAUUGGACAAUGGGCGAAAGCCUGAUCCAGCCAUGCCGCGUGUGUGAAGAAGGUCUUCGGAUUGUAAAGCACUUUAAGUUGGGAGGAAGGGCAGUAAGCGAAUACCUUGCUGUUUUGACGUUACCGACAGAAUAAGCACCGGCUAACUCUGUGCCAGCAGCCGCGGUAAUACAGAGGGUGCAAGCGUUAAUCGGAAUUACUGGGCGUAAAGCGCGCGUAGGUGGUUCGUUAAGUUGAAUGUGAAAGCCCCGGGCUCAACCUGGGAACUGCAUCCAAAACUUGCGAGCUAGAGUAGGGCAGAGGGUGGUGGAAGUUCCUGUGUAGCGGUGAAAUGCGUAGAUAUAGGAAGGAACACCAGUGGCGAAGGCGACCACCUGGGCUCAUACUGACACUGAGGUGCGAAAGCGUGGGGAGCAAACAGG